ensembl:lncRNA
GUUGUUAAUAAUAAUAAUCAUUUGUAAAUAAACUAUAUUUCAAUUUAAAAUUUUCAAAAAAGGGAAUUCUUUGCAGUGGCAAUGCCAUAUCCUUAACCUGCUGUACCACAAGAGAACUCCCAUUCUGUCCCACCUUCUGUCUGUCCCAGGCUGACUGGAAGGGUGCCAGGACUGGGAAAAAGGGGGGACCCCAGUACCUUAGGGUAAAUGGCUUACAAAUGGGAAAGGGGUUUCAAGGGGGGUGCUGCUCCAGAUUGCCAGAGCUGAGGUGGCUUCUAGACCCUCCAGGGGACAAGUUCUGGAAUCCCUAAGGCUGAGUUUGAGACUCUUCAGAGCUAGGCCAUUCAUUAUCUGACAGUUCUAGAAUUCUCCCAGGUGGGUUCAGAACAGCAACAGUCCAAUAGAAAAACAACGCAAGCCAUUUGGAUAAGUUAGCAUUUUUCUGGUGUCCACACUUAAAAGUGUCAACCUACAGAGAACAUUAAUUUUAACCACCUAUUCUGUUUAACCCAAGACAUCCAAAAUAUUGUCAUUUUGAGUCCUAAUUAAUAGGAAAAUGUGAUCGAAAUGUUUCACACUCUCUGUUGUCCUAAGUCUUUGUGACUCUGUGUGUGUUUUAUACUCACACCUCCAUUCAGACUGGCCACAUUUCAGGUACUCACCGCCACAUGUGGCCAGUGGCUGCCGUGUCCAUGCUAGAGCAUUUGAGUUCUAGAGAAUUCCAAGGCAGAUCUCAAAUCUCUCAAAUUGGUUUGAGGCUGCAAAGAGUAGGUUCUUACCAGGGCUCUUUAAUGUGGAAAGAUGGGGCUUCUCCCCAUGGCACUAUGGACAGGGGGCUGGGUCUCUCUGUAGGGGUGGUCCUGGGUGCUGUGGGGUGUGGAGCAACAUCCCUGUCCCCACCCCCUCGAUACCGGGAGCCCCUCAGUUGUGACAACCACAGAUGUCCCCAGGCAUGGCCCAGUGUCUCCUGGGGGCAGAAGCACCCCUGGCUGAGAACCACCAUAGUAAGGGAAACCUUAGACUUCUUUGAAGUUAUUUCACCACCAUCUAAGAAACAGUUCUAGAAUCCUCCAAGCUGGUUGAUCUAGAAUUACUCAUUUGUAUUCUUGACUUCAGCAGGAUCCAGAACUUCCUGAGUUGGGUUUCUGAGCAUCCAAAAACAAGGUCUAUAAUUUUUUACAUUGCGUUUUGGGGAGCAGAUCCCAAGUCUCCCAGUUUUGGGGUUCUUGAGACUCUGAGGACAGAUUAUAAAACUCCCCAAUCGAUCAUCAAUCAGGUGUUGGUUUCAUCCACAUACAAGAAACCAUGAAGCAUACUCAUGAUCAUGGACGGCAGUUUCCAGAAUCCUACAUGUUGGGUUUUGCACACCCAAGGACAGGCUCUGGAAUUUUCUCCAGCUGGGUUCUAGAACACCCAGGGCAGUUUCUAGAAUUCCUUGAGUCGGAGAGCCAGAAAGUUCGGGUCCGAAUCAAGGAAGCCUGUCUUCAGACACUGGGUGUCUGAUCAGAAUAUUCCAGAAAAGAUGGCUGUAGAAGGGGAAGGAGGUAGAUUGUCAUUUCUUCGAGGCUCCUUCCAGAGUGGCUGAGGCUGGGACUGUCUGCUUGUAGGCAGCCAGAUGGAUGGGGGCCCUGGUGUGGGCAGAGGUGUUCCGGAGCAGUUUGUAGGGAUUCGUGACGAUGGGAACCUGGGACUUAGUGAGCCUGGGAAUAAGAAUCAGGACUUCAUUUAGUCCUCAGUAAAUGUCUCUUUGGAGUUCCCGUCGUGGCACAGCGGAAACGAAUCCAACUAGUAUCCAUGAGGGUGCAAGUUCGAUCCCUGGCCUUGCUCAGUGGGUUAAAGAUCCGGUGUUGCCGUGAGCCGUGGUGUAGAUCACAGAUGUGGCUCGGAUCCCAAGUGGCUGUGGCUGUGAUGGAGGCCAGAGGCUACAGCUCCGAUUUAACCCCUAGCCUGGGAACCUCCAUGUGCUGCGGGUACAGCCCUAAAAAGCAAAAAAAAAAAAAAAAAAAAAA